GGGGCCGUCGUUUAGCCUGGGCGAAGAUGCCGGCUUGGGGCGCUGGUGAUCCGGGGUUCAAAUCCCCGCGGCCCCA
rnacentral:tRNA from 2 species